UACAGAGGGUGCAAGCGUUGUUCGGAAUUAUUGGGCGUAAAGGGAGUGUAGGCGGUCUGUUAAGUCUUCUGUGAAAUCUACGGGCUCAGCCUGUAACGUGCAGAGGAAGACUGGCAGACUUGAGUGUCGGAGAGGAUAGGGGAAUACCCAGUGUAGAGGUGAAAUUCGUAGAGAUUGGGUGGAACACCAGUGGCGAAGGCGCCUGUCUGGCUGACAACUGACGCUGAGACUCGAAAAGCAUGGGGGAGCAAACAGG
rnacentral:rRNA from 1 species